UAAUCGCUAUUGACCCACCAUUCGCGGUAGGUACAUACGGGGACACCAGUGAGGAGAGGUUACGGUAGAAACCGUAAGGUUACGGUAAUAACCGUAACUCCGCCCUCUACAUCCAACAUGGCUACUGUAAUAGCAAAAAGCGACGAUGAAGCUGAAAAAAUGAUUUUACAACUUGAAACUUAAAACAGUGUCCGAUUUGUGGCAAGGAAAAAUAAGAAGAAGGGUGUAAGCUGGGCUACGAGCUCUGGACUGAUGAGGCUUUAGCCGUUUAGGAAAAAAUGGAAGGAAAUAUCUAGCCGUACAGCUAGCCAAAAGUUCAAGCCAUAUAGAGCUGAACAAGUUUGGUUGAAAAUCAUGGAUGAUUUUAGCAAUUGUCAUCAAAGAACUUCUGGUUACUGUUAAGUUUGAUUAUGAAACUAUCAACUAACCACUUCCAAAACAAAUUGCUUAUUUGUGGAUUUUAGGAUUUCUAGGUCUGGUUGGGUAUACAGUAUGGAAGUUUUAUAUUAAGCGGAUGUGAAAAACCAAAUCAAGGGUAAUGGAUGACACCAUCAAUGAAACAGAGCAGAAAUAUAGCACAACAAUAAUGACAAUAGUGUACACAAACACAAGAAAUGGAUCAGCUUGAAAUUAAUGGAUUUUUAGCAGUUAUAGAUUUUUUUAAGUUACAGUAUGUUUCAUUUGUAAAUGAUGUUUUAAAUAUUAGUCAGAACUGCUUUUUUCCAUUGUUAUAAGGUAUAUGUUGUAAAAUUUUGCUAAUGUCAAAUUUUUUACCUGUUUAAAUAACUCUAAUUUUCACAUAAACCCCGGCACAUGAGUGUAAUAAAGCCAUUUGAUAAAUCAAUAUUACUCUAGUGUAAUAACACUUUGUCAUGACGUCAUAGAUUGCGCGCUAAUGUUAGCGUAACACUAUAGGCGCGUCAAUGAAAAUGACUCACUUUAACUUUAAGCCGUUCUCUUUUUGGGUAUGUGGUAAAUAGAAUAUUAUAUUCUUAUAGGUUCCAUACUAAAUUUAUUGAACAAGUUGAAUAAAACAAUAUUCUCGCCAGAGGCUCGUAUAAUAUUAUUUUAUUCACCUCCUUCAAUAAAUUUAGUGUUAAACCUUAGUAACAUGUACCCUCUAUUUAGGAUGCUUUUUGAAGAAAUUUACUGAAAGUAGCUUGUUUUUAUACUGUAAAUUAAAACUAAUAUUCAUGCUAUUGAUAUAUUUUUUUAAGAAACCUCUUUAAAGUUAAAGUAAUGAUAUAUGUACUUACACAGAAUCAAAUCCUUUUUAUUAUCAAAAAAUUUAGCUCUUUAUA